GACGAACGCUGGCGGCGUGCCUAACACAUGCAAGUCGAACGGAGUCAAAAAGCUUGCUUUUUGACUUAGUGGCGGACGGGUGAGUAACGCGUGAGUAACCUGCCUCUGAGAGGGGAAUAACGUUCUGAAAAGAACGCUAAUACCGCAUAACGUAUCGAAGCCGCAUGACUUUGUUACCAAAGAUUUUAUCGCUCGGAGAUGGACUCGCGUCCGAUUAGUUAGUUGGUGAGGUAACGGCUCACCAAGACCGCGAUCGGUAGCCGGACUGAGAGGUUGAUCGGCCACAUUGGGACUGAGACACGGCCCAGACUCCUACGGGAGGCAGCAGUGGGGGAUAUUGCGCAAUGGGGGCAACCCUGACGCAGCAACGCCGCGUGAAGGAUGAAGGUUUUCGGAUUGUAAACUUCUUUUAUCAGGGACGAAGCUUGACGGUACCUGGUGAAUAAGCUCCGGCUAACUACGUGCCAGCCGCCGCAGUAAAAC
rnacentral:rRNA from 1 species